AUUGAACGCUGGCGGAAUGCUUUACACAUGCAAGUCGAACGGCAGCGCGGGGGCAGCCCUGGUGGCGAGUGGCGAACGGGUGAGUAAUACAUCGGAACGUGCCCGGUCGUGGGGGAUAACGUAGCGAAAGUUACGCUAAUACCGCAUACGAUCUGAGGAUGAAAGCGGGGGACCUUCGGGCCUCGCGCGAUCGGAGCGGCCGAUGUCAGAUUAGGUAGUUGGUGGGGUAAAGGCCUACCAAGCCGACGAUCUGUAGCUGGUCUGAGAGGACGACCAGCCACACUGGGACUGAGACACGGCCCAGACUCCUACGGGAGGCAGCAGUGGGGAAUUUUGGACAAAGGGCGCAAGCCUGAUCCAGCCAUUCCGCGUGCAGGACGAAGGCCUUCGGGUUGUAAACUGCUUUUGUACGGAACGAAAAGGCUCUGGCUAAUACCUGGGGCUCAUGACGGUACCGUAAGAAUAAGCACCGGCUAACUACGUG
rnacentral:rRNA from 1 species